AGACUCUCUUCUCGGCUUCUUGAUAUACUUCACUGUGACCUUUGUGGUUAAUCCUUUGUGGGCACAUCAUUGGACUUCACUUUCCAACCUAUAGCAAUUGGACUGGGGCGGCGGCAGUGGUGGUUCUUGGAGUUGUCUCAACCUUUGUGGUGUCGAUGAAAUUGGUAAACUGAGCCCGAUUUUGUACUUGGAGUUCGGUGGAAAUCAACCCUACAAA
rnacentral:lncRNA from 1 species